rnacentral:tRNA from 1 species
UGUUCUCGUGGUCUAGUGGCUAUGACGCUACCCUCUCACGGUAGAAAUCGUGGGUUCGAUCCCCACCGGGAACGA